UACGAAGGGGGCUAGCGUUGCUCGGAAUCAUUGGGCGUAAAGCGCGCGUAGGCGGUCUGUUGCGUCUGCUGUGAAAACUCGGGGCUUAACCCCGAGCCUGCAGUGGAUACGGGCAGACUAGAGGUAGGUAGGGGAGAAUGGAAUUCCCGGUGUAGCGGUGAAAUGCGCAGAUAUCGGGAGGAACACCGGUGGCGAAGGCGGUUCUCUGGGCCUUACCUGACGCUGAGGAGCGAAAGCGUGGGGAGCGAACAGG
rnacentral:rRNA from 1 species